AGGACGAGCGCUGGCGGCGUGCUUAACACAUGCAAGUCGAACGGUGAAGCCUUUCGGGGUGGAUCAGUGGCGAACGGGUGAGUAACACGUGGGCAAUCUGCCCUGCAUUCUGGGACAAGCCUUGGAAACGAGGUCUAAUACCGGAUACGACGCAUCCCCGCAUGGGGUGUGCGUGGAAAGCUCCGGCGAUGCAGGAUGAGCCCGCGGCCUAUCAGCUUGUUGGUGGGGUGAUGGCCUACCAAGGCGACGACGGGUAGCCGGCCUGAGAGGGCGACCGGCCACACUGGGACUGAGACACGGCCCAGACUCCUACGGGAGGCAGCAGUGGGGAAUAUUGCACAAUGGGGGCAACCCUGAUCCAGCAAUGCCGCGUGAGUGAUGAAGGCCUUAGGGUUGUAAAGCUCUUUCGCCGCGACGAUGAUGACGGUAGCGGGAGAAGACGCCCGGCUAACUCGCGCCAGCAGCCGCGGU
rnacentral:rRNA from 1 species